rnacentral:ncRNA from 1 species
CCUUAUCAAGAGAGGUGGAGGGAACGGCCCUAUGAAGCCCGGCAACCUACUAUAGCAAGGUGCCAAAUCCGGCGGUAUUACCAGAUCGAGAGAUGAGG